GUACUUACCCCGCAGGGGAGAUCCUGAGGGUGGUUUUCCCAGGGGGAGGCUCACCCCAUUGCACUCCAGGUGGGCUGAUGCCUGCAAUUUCCCCAAAGGUGGGACACUCGACUGAAUAAUCUGUGGUAGUGAGGCAGUGCAAUUCUUGAUUUCCUUG